AACGAACGCUGGCGGCAUGCCUAACACAUGCAAGUCGAACGAGACCUUCGGGUCUAGUGGCGCACGGGUGCGUAACGCGUGGGAAUCUGCCCUUGGGUUCGGAAUAACUCAGAGAAAUUUGAGCUAAUACCGGAUGAUGACGUAAGUCCAAAGAUUUAUCGCCCAAGGAUGAGCCCGCGUAGGAUUAGCUAGUUGGUGAGGUAAAGGCUCACCAAGGCGACGAUCCUUAGCGGUCUGAGAGGAUGAUCAGCCACACUGGGACUGAGACACAGCCCAGACUCCUACGGGAGGCAGCAGUGGGGAAGUAUUGGACAAUGGGCGCAAGCCUGAUGCA
rnacentral:rRNA from 1 species